rnacentral:misc_RNA from 1 species
AACGCACAUUGCGCCCGCCAGUAUUCUGGCGGGCAUGCCUGUCCGAGCGUCAUUUCAACCCUCAAGCCCCCAGCGGCUUGGUGUUGGGGACCGGCGACCUCGCCCGCACCCCGGUGCAGGCGCCCGCCGCCCCCGAAAUGAAUUGGCGGUCUCGCCGCGGCCUCCCCUGCGUAGGAGCACAACCUCGCAACGGGAGCGCGGCGCGGCCACCGCCGUAAAACGCCCAACUUUUUUUUUUCAGAGUUGACCUCGGAUCAGGUAGGAAUACCCGCUGAACUUAA